rnacentral:rRNA from 1 species
AGUGAACCGGGAAAAGCUCAAAUUUGUAAUCUGGCUGUCUUCGAUAGUCCGAGUUGUAAUCUAUAGACGUGUUUUCCGUGCUGGACCGUAUCUAAGUCCCUUGGAACAGGGUAUCAAAGAGGGUGACAAUCCCGUGCUUGAUACGACCACCAGUGCUCUGUGAUACACGCUCUACGAGUCGAGUUGUUUGGGAAUGCAGCUCAAAAUGGGUGGUAAAUUCCAUCUAAAGCUAAAUAUUGGCGAGAGACCGAUAGCGAACAAGUACCGUGAGGGAAAGAUGAAAAGCACUUUGGAAAGAGAGUUAAACAGUACGUGAAAUUGUUGAAAGGGAAACGAUUGAAAUCAGUCGUGUUCUUUGGAUUCAGCUAGUUCUUCUAGUCUACUUCCAUUGAACGGGUCAACAUCAGUUUUGUCCGGUGGAUAAAGAUAGUAGGAAUGUAGCUCCCCCGGGAGUGUUAUAGACUAUUAUUGCAUACACUGGGUGAGACUGAGGACUGCAGCUCGCCUUUUGGCCGGUCUUCGGACACGUUCGAGCUUAGGAUGUUGACAUAAUGGCUUUAA